UACGUAGGGUGCGAGCGUUGUCCGGAAUUAUUGGGCGUAAAGGGCUCGUAGGCGGUUUGUCGCGUCGGGAGUGAAAACCUCGGGCUUAACUCGGGGCUUGCUUUCGAUACUGGCAGACUAGAGGUAUGCAGGGGAGAACGGAAUUCCUGGUGUAGCGGUGAAAUGCGCAGAUAUCAGGAGGAACACCGGUGGCGAAGGCGGUUCUCUGGGCAUGAUCUGACGCUGAGGAGCGAAAGCGUGGGGAGCAAACAGG
rnacentral:rRNA from 1 species